UAUGAUUGGGGUGAAGUCGUAACAAGGUAGCUGUAGGUGAACCUGAGAAGGAUCA
rnacentral:rRNA from 1 species